AACAUCGCGCACCUGCGGGAACCUGCGGAGGGAUCAUUACCGAGUUUACAACUCCCAAACCCCUGUGAACAUACCUAUACGUUGCCUCGGCGGAUCAGCCCGCGCCCCGUAAAAAGGGACGGCCCGCCCGAGGACCCCUAAACUCUGUUUUUAGUGGAACUUCUGAGUAAAACAAACAAAUAAAUCAAAACUUUUAGCAACGGAUCU
rnacentral:misc_RNA from 1 species